CGCAGCGGCCAUGAAACCGGCAUAAGACCCGCCCCUUCUCUCGGCCCCUCCCCUCUCCUGGUUGAGCCAGCUCGCCUCCUGAAUUUAAGAUCCUAGAAGACCCAGUUCAAGCAGGCACCAUACAUGCAAGUGGUUCACAUACAAACCACCCAGUCAAAGAACCCGUACACAUAAAAUAAAAAUAAAUCUUAAGAACAAUGAAAAGAA